rfam:Triticum aestivum genome assembly, contig: Triticum_aestivum_CS42_TGACv1_scaffold_050689_1BS
GCGGCGUGGUGGCUUUGUUCGCCGGAGCAGCGUGCUGUGGAUUGAAUCCCGCGCGCUCCUCCAUCGAACGUGGCGGCCCACGUCGC